rfam:Triticum aestivum genome assembly, contig: Triticum_aestivum_CS42_TGACv1_scaffold_288560_4AL
CAAGUACUUCCUCCGUUCGGAAUUACUCGUCCAAGAAAUGAAUGUAUCUAGAUAUAUUUUAGUUAUAGAUACAUUUAUUUUUGUGACAAGUAAUUCCGAACGGAGGAAGUAUAAC